GGAGGGGCCUGGGGACUGAGGACUAACUAGCGGGGUGAGGUACAAAGUGUCCGGAGUUUCAUAAUCGGCCCCGGGGGAGGAGUGGCCAGAGGACUGUCCGGAUGUCAUCCUCCCUCUCUGAACACCUGAGAGUGGCUGGCUGAGGAAUGAAAAAAUGCUCUUCGGUGAUGUCCUUUAAUGUCGAGGACGCUCAUGUUGCAAACAAAUACUUCAUCUUUCCCUCAGUGGUUGAGAUCAUGGUUUCUGGAUUCAGACUCUCUACAUGUCCUUGGGUGGUGCAGUGGUAAAGAAUCCACCGGCCAAUGCAGGGGACACGGGUUCGAGCCCUGCUCUGGGAAGAUUCCACAUGCCGCGGAGCAGCUAAGCCCGUGCACCACAACUAUUGAGCCCAUGUGCCGCAACUAUUGAAGCCCACGUGCCUAGGGCCCAUGCUCUGCAACAAGAGAAGCCACUGCAAUGAGAAGCCCGCGCACCACAAUGAAGAGUAGCCCCCACUCACAGCAACUAGAGAAAGCCUGUGUGCAGCAACGAAGACCCAA